rnacentral:rRNA from 1 species
ACGGGUGAGUAACACGUAUCCAACCUGCCGUCUACUCUUGGCCAGCCUUCUGAAGGAAGAUUAAUCCAGGAUGGCAUCAUGAGUUCACAUGUCCGCAUGAUUAAAGGUAUUUUCCGGUAGACGAUGGGGAUGCGUUCCAUUAGAUAGUAGGCGGGGUAACGGCCCACCUAGUCAACGAUGGAUAGGGGUUCUGAGAGGAAGGUCCCCCACAUUGGAACUGAGACACGGUCCAA